rnacentral:rRNA from 1 species
GCUGCAGGAAUUCCCAAUACUAUCGAUACGGGUUGUGGGAGCAAGAUCCCGGAGAUGGAUUCUGAGACAUGAAUCCAGGCCCUACGGGGCGCAGCAGGCGCGCAAACUUUACAAUGCGAGCAAUCGUGAUAAGGAAACCCUGAGUGCCUGUCGAUGCAGGCUGUUCAUAUAUCUAAAUCAUAUGUGAAGAAAGGGCAGGGCAAGACCGGUGCCAGCCGCCGCGGUAAUACCGGCUGCUCGAGUGAUGGCCACUAUUACUGGGUUCAAAGCGUCCGUAGCUUGACUGUUAGGUCUCUUGGGAAAUCUUCGCGCUCAACGUGAAGGCGUCUAAGAGAUACCGGCAGUCUUGGAACUGGGAGAGGUAAACCGUACUUCGGGGGUAGGAGUGAAAUCUUGUAAUCCUCGAGGGACGACCUAUGGCGAAGGCAGUUUACCAGAACAGCUUCGACAGUGAGGGACGAAAGCUGGGGGAGCAAACGGGAUUAGAUACCCCGGUAGUCCCAGCCGUAAACUAU